AUUCCUACGGGAGGCAGCAGUGGGGAAUAUUGCACAAUGGGCGCAAGCCUGAUGCAGCCAUGCCGCGUGUAUGAAGAAGGCCUUCGGGUUGUAAAGUACUUUCAGUAGGGAGGAAGGUGGUUAAGCUAAUAUCUUAAUCAUUUGACGUUACCUACAGAAGAAGCACCGGCUAACUCCGUGCCAGCAGCCGCGGUAAUAAU
rnacentral:rRNA from 1 species